rnacentral:rRNA from 1 species
GACGAACGCUGGCGGCGUGCUUAACACAUGCAAGUCGAACGGAAAGGCCCUGCGUUUGUGGGGUGCUCGAGUGGCGAACGGGGGAGUAAAACGUGAGUAACCUGCCCUUGACUGUGGGAUAACUUCAGGAAACUGGGGCUAAUACAGGAUAGGAGCUCCUGCUGCAUGGGGGGGGUUGGAAAGUUUCGGCGGUGGUGGAUGGACUCGCGGCUUAUCAGCUUGUUGGUGGGGUAGUGGCUUACCAAGGCUUUGACGGGUAGCCGGCCUGAGAGGUUGACCGGCCACAUUGGGCCUGAGAUACGGCCCAGACUCCUACGUGCGGCAGCAGUGGGGAAUAUUGCACAAUGGGCGGAAGCCUGAUGCAGCAACGCCGCGUGCGGGAUGACGGCCUUCGGGUUGUAAACCGCUUUCGCCUGUGCCGAAGCGUGAGUGACGGUAAUGGGUAAAGAAGCACCGGCUAACUACGUG